rnacentral:hammerhead_ribozyme from 1 species
AUCCAGCUGAUGAGCUCAGAACAGGACGAAACGCGUGUCCUGGAU